CAGGGACAGUCUCAUGUCUUGAGGACCCCUGUGCAGAGAGUGAGGGAAGGCAGCCUGGUCUAGCUUGAUCUCGCCAGAUCUUGGAAACUGAGCAGGGGCUUGAAUGAGGGACUGCCAAGGAAGACUGUGGAGGAAGGCAAUGGCAAACCACCGCUGCUUUUUUCAUCUGCCUUGAAAGCCUCUUGAGGAGAGCGCAGGUUCCGAGGCACCUGACCCAACAAUGAGGCAAACAUUGAGUCACAAAGCUCUUCCUGCUUGUCAGUCACCUGACUUGGGCUACUAGAGUAAUGCCCAGGAGGGAUGUUGCAAUAAGAGAAGGAGGAAGAACCAUUAUAAACCAGCUAGGCAUACGGGAAAGCGGAGACACUGUCUGCAGGAAAGAAAGGGAGGAAGUCAGACUGUCCGUGACCUAAGGAAACAUGGUCUGAGUGAUCAUCAAUGCCUGCAGUUAUGUUUGGGCAAGAAUUACACGUGUGUGCUGCUGCAAAGGAGAGCAGGAAGAAACGGAUUCACCCCAAGCAAAGGAACAGGGUAUAAAUGGACCAGUACGCCAAACGUCACCUAGAGGGAGAGGGGCCGUACCCUAUCCAGUCCCAGAACGGCCCUGUGGAACAUGAGGAUAGUCUAGAAACCGUGAAGGGUUCUCUCUGGAACGGAAUCCUGCACUGCUCUCCUCUGACAAAUCAGGCCAUCACCUAAUUUGCAAGCAAAACUUCCUUUUGCAUCAUCACAGAGCACUAUGAAGACAGGUUCACAAACUCCCAUCCGAGUGGAGAUGAACUUGUCCAAAUGUCCCCCUGCCUGUGAUAAUCUUACAUUUUUAAAAUGCUGAAUCAGAGUGAAAAACAAGCAUACUGCAACCGUUAAAAAGAUUUUUUGAACUGCU